rnacentral:rRNA from 1 species
UUAUGUGCUUGCACAUUUUGGACGUCGACCGGCGCACGGGUGAGUAUCGCGUAUCCAACCUGCCCUUUACUUGGGGAUACCCCGUUGAAAGACGGCCUAAUACCCGAUGUAAUUCAUUGAUGGCAUCAGAUAUGAAUAAAAGAUUUAUCGGUAAAGGAUGGGGAUGCGUCUGAUUAGCUUGUUGGUGAGGUAAUGGCUCACCAAGGCGACGAUCAGUAGGGGUUCUGAGAGGAAGGUCCCCCACAUUGGAACUGAGACACGGUCCAAACUCCUACGGGAGGCAGCAGUGAGGAAUAUUGGUCAAUGGGCGCAAGCCUGAACCAGCCAAGUAGCGUGCAGGAAGACGGCCCUAUGGGUUGUAAACUGCUUUUAUACGAGAAUAAUUUGAUGCACGUGUGCGUUAUUGCAUGUAUCGUAUGAAUAAGGACCGGCUAAUUCCGUGCCAGCAGCCGCGGUAAUACGGAAGGUCCAGGCGUUAUCCGGAUUUAUUGGGUUUAAAGGGAGUGUAGGCGGUUUGUUAAGCGUGUUGUGAAAUUUAGAUGCUCAACAUUUAACUUGCAGCGCGAACUGUCAGACUUGAGUACACGCAACGUAUGCGGAAUUCAUGGUGUAGCGGUGAAAUGCUUAGAUAUCAUGAAGAACUCCGAUUGCGAAGGCAGCAUACGGGAGUGUAACUGACGCUUAAGCUCGAAGGUGCGGGUAUCGAACAGGAUUAGAUACCCUGGUAGUCCGCACAGUA